AAUAAGUAUAGUUUUGCACUAUUCAUACCCAAUGUUUAACCGUUCGUCUUAUUUGAAAAUUUUUAAUGAUUAGUACUUUUAUUGUUAUUAGGUGAUAAAACAUGAAUAGCAUUUUAAUUAUGUGCAACUAACUUUCUUUAAUUUUUCAUCACAUAAAUUUUUCAAAUAAGACGGACGGUGAAACGUUGUACACGGAAUCCUACGUCUGUAUUUAUU
rfam:Oryza meridionalis cultivar OR44 (W2112) chromosome 6, whole genome shotgun sequence.